CUUGGUCAGAGAGAAGGCUGGAAGCUGAGCGGCCAUCAAUGGCGGCCCAACCCAGGAGGAGGAAAGCUGACGAACCAUCGUCUUUCAGUGGGAUUAAGGUGCCUGCACCGGUCGAGAACAAGAGCAGAGUUGGAACGUCAGUAAGUAACAACAGUUCCAGAGUCUCAAAGUACAAGUGCCGGAUUGAAUUUGAGGAUUGUGCAGGCCAAAAAUGCGGCAGUUGCACAAGCGCAAAAAGAUGGUGCGACCGGAAGCUAUAGGAUCUUUGAUUCGCCCUUCAGGAAUUAUCUUGUUCGUGUAAAAUCCCCACUGCCAAGGAACUAGCUGACUAGCUAGUUUCUUAUGAAACCAUAGGCACCCUAACUAAUCGACUGAUUGAUUUUCUAUGGGAAAUGUGAUCGCAAUACAUGUAGAAUGUGUCACUAUGAUUCAUGCAUUUUGCAGGGUUUCAUCACCAAUUAAAUAUCAUACUUUUGAGAGAAUUUGCCCCGUAA